GGAUUAGAUACCCUGGUAGUCCACGCCGUAAACGAUGACAACUAGCUGUUAGGAGACUAUGUCUUUUAGUGGCGCAGCUAACGUUUUAAGUUGUCCGCCUGGGGAGUACGGCCGCAAGGCUAAAACUCAAAUGAAUUGACGGGGACCCGCACAAGCAGUGGAUCAUGUGGUUUAAUUCGAUGCAACGCGAAAAACCUUACCUACUCUUGACAUACUUGGAAGCUCUUGUAAUGAGAGUGUGCUUUUAAGAACCAAGAUACAGGUGCUGCAUGGCUGUCGUCAGCUCGUGUCGUGAGAUGUUCCGUUAAGUCGGAUAACGAGCGCAACCCUUACCCUUAUUUGCCAGCGAUUCGGUCGGGAACUAUAAGGGGACUGCCGGUGAUAAACCGGAGGAAGGUGAGGACGACGUCAAGUCAUCAUGGCCCUUACGAGUAGGGCUACACACGUGAUACAAUGGGAGAGACAGACGGACGCUAAGCCGCGAGGUGGUGCUAAUCCUAGAAACUCUCUCGUAGUCCGGAUUGGAGUCUGCAACUCGACUCCAUGAAGUUGGAAUUGCUAGUAAUCGCGGAUCAGCAUGCCGCGGUGAAUACGUUCUCGGGUCUUGUACACACCGCCCGUCACACCAUGGAAGUGGAUUGCACCAGAAGUAGAUAGUCUAACCUUAGGGAGGGCGUUUACCACGGUGUGCUUCAUGACUGGGGUGAAGUCGUAACAAGGUAGCCGUAGGGGAACCUGUGGCUG
rnacentral:rRNA from 1 species